rnacentral:rRNA from 1 species
GACGAACGCUGGCGGCGUGCUUAACACAUGCAAGUCGAACGGAAAGGCCUUUUCGGAGGUACUCGAGUGGCGAACGGGUGAGUAACACGUGGGUGAUCUGCCCUGCACUCUGGGAUAAGCCUGGGAAACUGGGUCUAAUACCGGAUAGGACCGCACUUUAGUGUGUGUGGUGGAAAGUUUUUUCGGUGUAGGAUGAGCCCGCGGCCUAUCAGCUUGUUGGUGGGGUAAUGGCCUACCAAGGCGGCGACGGGUAGCCGGACUGAGAGGUUGGUCGGCCACAUUGGGACUGAGAUACGGCCCAGACUCCUACGGGAGGCAGCAGUGGGGAAUAUUGCACAAUGGGUGCAAGCCUGAUGCAGCGACGCCGCGUGGGGGAUGACGGCCUUCGGGUUGUAAACUCCUUUCGCCAGGGACGAAGCGUUUUGUGACGGUACCUGGAGAAGAAGCACCGGCUAACUACGUG